UAUAAUCGUUUGAUUUGCUCAAAGGCUGAUUUCAAAUGAGAAUCUUUCAAAAUCUACCACUGAAUAAAUACAGAUUAAUUGGUGGACAAGAUGUGAGAUUCAUGAUAAUAGAGCAAGAUGAUGAAAUUGAGGACAAGAUCUAGACGCAACAGAGAAUUUCCAAUCGAAGAUAAUAUCUGGAGACAAAAAUGCGGAAUUAUAUAAGGGUUUGUGGAUCUAUGGUCGUUUUAUCGAAGUU
rnacentral:sRNA from 1 species